UGCUAUACAUGCAAGUCGAGCGGACAGAAGGGAGCUUGCUCCCGGAUGUUAGCGGCGGACGGGUGAGUAACACGUGGGUAACCUGCCUGUAAGACUGGGAUAACUCCGGGAAACCGGAGCUAAUACCGGAUAGUUCCUUGAACCGCAUGGUUCAAGGAUGAAAGACGGUUUCGGCUGUCACUUACAGAUGGACCCGCGGCGCAUUAGCUAGUUGGUGGGGUAAUGGCUCACCAAGGCGACGAUGCGUAGCCGACCUGAGAGGGUGAUCGGCCACACUGGGACUGAGACACGGCCCAGACUCCUACGGGAGGCAGCAGUAGGGAAUCUUCCGCAAUGGACGAAAGUCUGACGGAGCAACGCCGCGUGAGUGAUGAAGGUUUUCGGAUCGUAAAGCUCUGUUGUUAGGGAAGAACAAGUGCGAGAGUAACUGCUCGCACCUUGACGGUACCUAACCAGAAAGCCACGGCUAACUACGUGCCAGCAGCCGCGGUAAUACGUAGGUGGCAAGCGUUGUCCGGAAUUAUUGGGCGUAAAGGGCUCGCAGGCGGUUUCUUAAGUCUGAUGUGAAAGCCCCCGGCUCAACCGGGGAGGGUCAUUGGAAACU
rnacentral:rRNA from 1 species